GGGGCGGCUCGGGGGGGGGGGCAGCCUGGCUGGGCGGUGGGGCGUAGGGGGGAGGGGGACCUGGCCGGAUGGUUGGGCAGCAGGGCUUUUCCCCGGGCCGAGGAACCACAGACUAAAUUCUCCCCGGGCGAUCCACCAGCGCAUUUGGAGGCCCAAGAGACAGGGGCAGCCCCGCCCUUUACGCGGGUGAGGCUUCCACGCCUGGUGAGGUCAGGGAGAAAACCCUCGUCGCUUGGUCUCGCGAACGAGAGGUGGCGGCGACCAGAUCGAGAACUCCUCCGCCGUCCAGCGCUCCGCCCUUCUUCGUCCAACGCUCCACUGUCCCCCGGCCCUCCUCCGGCAACCGGAAGCGGCGCACCCCCCAUCUCCCUCCACCUCUACACUCCGCGCCUCUGGCGGGGGCGACGGCGACCGAGGUAUGUCUCAAUGCAUGCGAGAGCUUUAAGUAUAACCAUCCAAGCACAACGGUAUGUCUCAGUGCUUUGUUAUCUUGAUAAGUGAUCUCUCUUGUUUAAUAAAUAUAAUUUAUCUUCUGUUUUUUGGACGUAGGUUUGUAAUGAAAAAGUAGAGGAUUUUUUUUCUUUGCUAAUGGAAUGGUCUGUCCUAUGCGACAAGUACGUCCAUAAAAAUAAUGGUGAUGCCUAGAAAAAGCAAGCAUGUCGUAGAGAAACUUAGUGCGAUCUGCUAUGGUGGCGCUCACAGAAAAAAAAUGCAUAUACUUUAAGGUUAACCACGGGUCUAUGUUGGAGGGAAAGUUUUAAAAAGGAGUGCCUGCUAGAUUUUCGUGACAUGCCAUUUGAUAUCCAUUGUUCGAAAAGGAAGUUUUGUUGAACGUUGAUGAUGACCGGAAACUGAAGUAUGUUACCUUCUUCUUGCUGCUGCAGAGACAAAUGAAAUGUGGCAGGGAGGGUGUCUAAAGGAAAUGGCCAUGCUUUAACUAUGGAAAGAGAAGGCUUGGAAUUUCAUUUUGGAGGGUUUUUUAUAUUGAUUGUUCUUGUUCAGGGAUGCAGAUGGAAAAGCACGAAGCCUCGCUUCAGGACAAAGCGGCGUGGGGAGCUGCGACGCAUCGCUUGGGGCUGAUCCUUCCGGUUGAGGCCUCGAAUGCUGAACGGCGUGGUUCCCAAAGAUUGAAGCAAACAUGGAUGAAAUUCACUGUGGCGUCCUGUAGGUUGUUUGGUCGUUUAAGCUUUCCUCGUGCUUCCGCUGAGCUGUAGGACUGGGUAACCAUGUUGGCUUUACCCUGAGAACCUGAAUGUUUAUGAACCUUUGUUCCAUUGCAUCAUUGGCUGCAAUGGAACAAGGAGUUCUGCUCCUAUCUUCCUAAAAAGGGGAUACAGCUAAGUGGAAACCGAUGGGUUUGCUUACCCAGGGUGUCCAACUGUCGGAUCAGCCGGACAAGAUCUCGUGGCUUUGGACAGCUGAUGGCUCUUACACGGCGGCAUCUGCGUACAAGAUUCAGUUCAUGGGAAGUACAUCCUCAAACCUGGAGGAGCUCAUCUGGAAAACUCCAGUACCGGCAAAGCAGAAGCUCUCGGCUUGGAUGUGUAUUUCAAGAUCGCUGUCUGACAGCGGAUAAGCUCGCCAAGAGGGGCUGGCAGCAUAAAUGGUCUGCGGCGAUUACCCUGGUUUGUUGGUUCAUUUGGACUGUGCGGAUCUUUGAUGGGGUGGCCUGCAGCGCUGCUCGGGUAAUGUGCGAGAGUGAGGAAGAACUGUCGGAAUGGGGAAGCGCCCGGAUCAGCGGUGCGCUAUUACUGUCGCAUAUUCAUCCAUGAUGCACACAAUAUGGUCUGAUUGCCUGAGAAGAUGCCGUUGAAAGGAGCUACUCAGAGUUAGGUGGAAACCUCCGUGAGCUCCUACUCAAUGCUACUAGUGUUUCCUUGAUUAGCCUUUAGCCUAGGUUUUUCCCCAUGUUGAGCUAUGUCAUGUAUCUCUGUAACAUUUCUUCUCCCCUAAUAUAAUGAAAGCAGAGCUGCUGCUCUUCGUAAAAAAAGAAGGGAGUUUGCUUGACUGAAUUCA